CCUACGGGAGGCAGCAGUGGGGAAUAUUGCACAAUGGAGGAAACCCUGAUGCAGCGACGCCGCGUGAGUGAAGAAGUAUUUCGGUAUGUAAAGCUCUGUCAGCAGGGAAGAAACCCACCCUCCGUGAUGGCUGCCGUUCCCUGACUACGAAUCCCCGGCUAACUACGUGCCAGCAGCCGCGGUAAUACGUAGGUGGCAAGCGUUAUCCGGAUUUACUGGGUGUAAAGGGAGCGUAGGUGGAAAGGCAAGUCAGAUGUGAAAACCCGGGGCACAACCCCGGGAGUGCAUUUGAAACUGUCUGGCUAGAGUGCAGGAGAGGGAAGUGGAAUUCCUAGUGUAGCGGUGAAAUGCAUAGAUAUUAGGAGGAACACCAGUGGCGAAGGCGGCUUACUGGACUGUAACUGACGUUGAGGCUCGAAAGCGUGGGGAGCAAACAGGAUUAGAUACCCCGGUAGUC
rnacentral:rRNA from 1 species